rnacentral:piRNA from 1 species
UGCCGUGCGUUGAUAGGAGCACAGUGUCC